rnacentral:rRNA from 1 species
UACAGAGGGUGCAAGCGUUAAUCGGAAUUACUGGGCGUAAAGCGUGCGUAGGCGGUGUCUUAAGUUUGUUGUGAAAUCUCCCGGCUUAACCGGGAGGGUGCGGCGAAUACUGAGAUGCUGGAGUGCCGGAGAGGUAAGCGGAAUCCUGGUGUAGCGGUGAAAUGCGUAGAUAUCAGGAGGAACACCUGCGGUGUAGACGGCUUACUGGACGGUAACUGACGCUGAGGCACGAAAGCGUGGGUAGCAAACAGG